rnacentral:rRNA from 1 species
AACGAACGCUGGCGGCAGGCCUAACACAUGCAAGUCGAGCGAGGACUUCGGUCCUAGCGGCGGACGGGUGAGUAACGCGUGGGAACGUGCCCUUUGCUUCGGAAUAGCCCUGGGAAACUGGGAGUAAUACCGGAUGAGCCCUUUGGGGGAAAGAUUUAUCGGCGAAGGAUCGGCCCGCGUUGGAUUAGGUAGUUGGUGGGGUAAUGGCCUACCAAGCCGACGAUCCAUAGCUGGUUUGAGAGGAUGAUCCGCCACACUGGAACUGAGACACGGCCCAGACUCCUACGGGAGGCAGCAGUGGGGAAUCUUAGACAAUGGGGGAAACCCUGAUCUAGCCAUGCCGCGUGAGCGAUGAAGGCCUUAGGGUUGUAAAGCUCUUUCAGCUGAGAAGAUAAUGACGGUACCAGCAGAAGAAGCCCCGGCUAACUCCGUG